rnacentral:rRNA from 1 species
UGCAACGAUGAAGAACGCAGCGAAAUGCGAUACCUAGUGUGAAUUGCAGAAUUCCGCGAAUCAUCGAGUCUUUGAACGCAAGUUGCGCCCGAGGCUCGUACCGAGGGCAUGCCUGUCUGAGCGUCCA